UACGUAGGGGGCAAGCGUUGUCCGGAAUCAUUGGGCGUAAAGAGCGUGUAGGCGGCUCGAUAAGUCUGCUGUGAAAGUCCAGGGCUCAACCCUGGAAGGCCGGUGGAAACUGUCGGGCUAGAGUCCGGAAGAGGCGAGUGGAAUUCCCGGUGUAGCGGUGAAAUGCGCAGAUAUCGGGAGGAACACCAGUGGCGAAGGCGGCGACCUGGACGGACACUGACGCUGAGACGCGAAAGCGUGGGGAGCAAACAGG
rnacentral:rRNA from 1 species